GGGGAAUUUUGGACAAUGGGGGCAACCCUGAUCCAGCAAUGCCGCGUGAGUGAAGAAGGCCUUCGGGUUGUAAAGCUCUUUUGUCAGGGAAGAAACACCGGCUCUAACACAGUCCGGGAAUGACGGUACCUGAAGAAUAAGCACCGGCUAACUACGUGCCAGCAGCCGCGGUAAUACGUAGGGUGCGAGCGUUAAUCGGAAUUACUGGGCGUAAAGCGUGCGCAGGCGGUUAUACAAGACAGGCGUGAAAUCCCCGGGCUUAACCUGGGAAUGGCGCCUGUGACUGUAUAGCUAGAGUGUGUCAGAGGGGGGUAGAAUUCCACGUGUAGCAGUGAAAUGCGUAGAUAUGUGGAGGAAUACCAAUGGCGAAGGCAGCCCCCUGGGAUAACACUGACGCUCAUGCACGAAAGCGUGGGGAGCAAACAGGAUUAGAUACCCCCGUAGUCCG
rnacentral:rRNA from 1 species